GAUGAACGCUGGCGGCGUGCCUAAUACAUGCAAGUCGAGCGAACGGACGAGACGCUUGCUUCUCUGAUGUUAGCGGCGGACGGGUGAGUAACACGUGGAUAACCUACUUAUAAGACUGGGAUAAUUUCGGGACACCGGCGCUAAUACCGGAUGAUCUUUUGAACCGCAUGGUUCAAAAGAGAAAGACGGUCUUGCUGUCACUUAUAGAUGGUUCUGCGCUGCAUUAGCUAGUUGGUAAGGUAACGGCUUACCAAGGCAACGAUGCAUAGCCGACCUGAGAGGGUGAUCGGCGACACUGGAACUGAGACACGGUCCAGACGACUGCGGGAGGCAGCAGUAGGGAAUCUUCCGCAAUGGGCGAAAGCCUGACGGAGCAACGCCGCGUGAGUGAUGAAGAUCUUCGGAUCGUAAAACUCUGUUAUUAGGGAAGAACAUAUGUGUAAGUAACUGUGCACAGCGUGACGGUACCUAAUCAGAAAGCCACGGCUAACUACGUG
rnacentral:rRNA from 1 species